AUGAUGGACUAUAGGACAGGACUGAUACUGUUAACUAUCUGCUGGGCAGGUGUUGAUGGUCAGACUCUGACUGAAUCUGAACCUGCAGUAAAAAGACCUGGACAAUCCCACAGACUGACCUGUACAACAUCUGGAUUCACAUUCAGCAGCUACCAAAUGAGUUGGAUCAGACAGGCUCCUGGGAAAGGACUGGAGUGGAUCGCUUAUAUAGAUAUAGCCAGUUCUCUGAUCUAUUACUCCUCAUCAGUCCAGGGUAGAUUCACCAUCUCCAGAGACGACUCCAGCAGUAAACUUUAUCUGCAGAUGAACAGUCUGAAGCCAGAGGACACAGCAGUGUAUUACUGUGCUCGAAAUAUGUAUGGAUGA